rnacentral:rRNA from 1 species
CCCUUAGAUGUUCUGGGCAGCACGCGCGCUACAAUGGUCUUCGCAAACGGAUGCAAUCUCGAAGGAGAAUGCCAAUCUUGGAAUCUAUGCCUUGGUCGGGACAGUUGCUUGCAAUUUUUCGACUCGAACCAGGAAUUCCUUGUAAUCGUGAUUCAUCACAUCACGAUGAAUACGUCCCUGCCCUUUGUACACACCGCCCGUCGCUCCUACCGAUCGAAGAGUUAGGUGAAUUGUUUUGAUCGAUAAGAUUUGACUAUGGUCAACUCUCGUUGUGAAAUUCUGUGAAUCUGACUGUUUAGAGGAAGGAAAAGUCGUAACA